rnacentral:sRNA from 1 species
UACCAGGAAACUCCGUCCACAUCCUUUUCCUCCCCGAGAACGGACGCUCAUACGAC